AGUGGGGAAUAUUGGACAAUGGGCGAAAGCCUGAUCCAGCCAUGCCGCGUGAGUGAUGAAGGCCUUAGGGUUGUAAAGCUCUUUCAGUGGGGAAGAUAAUGACGGUACCCACAGAAGAAGCCCCGGCUAACUUCGUGCCAGCAGCCGCGGUAAUACGAAGGGGGCUAGCGUUGUUCGGAUUUACUGGGCGUAAAGCGCACGUAGGCGGAUCGUUAAGUCAGGGGUGAAAUCCUGGGGCUCAACCCCAGAACUGCCUUUGAUACUGGCGAUCUCGAGUCCGGAAGAGGUGAGUGGAACUCCUAGUGUAGAGGUGGAAUUCGUAGAUAUUAGGAAGAACACCAGUGGCGAAGGCGGCUCACUGGUCCGGUACUGACGCUGAGGUGCGAAAGCGUGGGGAGCAAA
rnacentral:rRNA from 1 species